UAACGAUGCAGUCUUCUUCGCCAGAACUUCCGAUUAGCAGACGUUUCUUCAAGGUUAUGGUGCCUGGUUUUCACUCUAAACUUACAAUUCCACCAGCUUUUUUUCCGAAGCUAAAAGGGGAUAAUUUAGAAAAGGGGACAAUAAUAAAGGGCAAAGAUAUAUGGAAUGUUGAAAUUAAUCGAUCCGAGAAGGGCACUAUCUCGUUUGAUAAGGGUUGGGAGGAAUUUGUGCAAAAUCAUGACCUAAGAGUUGGAGAUUUUGCUGUGUUUGAGCACUUGGG
rnacentral:misc_RNA from 1 species